rnacentral:rRNA from 1 species
UACGUAGGGUGCGAGCGUUAAUCGGAAUUACUGGGCGUAAAGCGUGCGCAGGCGGCGCGUUAAGACAGGUGUGAAAGCCCCGAGCUUAACUUGGGAAUUGCGCUUGUGACUGGCGUGCUGGAGUGUGGCAGAGGGAGGUGGAAUUCCACGUGUAGCAGUGAAAUGCGUAGAGAUGUGGAGGAACACCGAUGGCGAAGGCAGCCUCCUGGGCCAGCACUGACGCUCGUGCACGAAAGCGUGGGGAGCAAACAGG